CAAUAGCGUAUAUUAAAGUUGUUGCAGUUAAAAAGCUCGUAGUUGGAUUUCGGGACGGGCCGGUUGGUCCGCCGCAAGGUGUGUUACUGACUGGUCUGUUCUUCUUCGCAAAGACUGCGUGUGCUCUUCGUUGAGUGUGCGUAGGAUUUACGACGUUUACUUUGAAAAAAUUAGAGUGUUCAAAGCAGGCUAUCGCUUGAAUACAUGAGCAUGGAAUAAUGGAAUAGGACUUUGGUCCUAUUUUGUUGGUUUCUAGGACCGAAGUAAUGAUUAAGAGGGACAAUUGGGGGCAUCCGUAUUUCGUUGUCAGAGGUGAAAUUCUUGGAUUUACGAAAGACGAACAACUGCGAAAGCACUUGCCAAGAGUGUUUUCAUUAA
rnacentral:rRNA from 1 species